AGCCAGCUGACGAGUCCUAAGUAGGACGAAGCACGCGUCCUAGAU
rfam:Schistosoma rodhaini strain Burundi genome assembly, scaffold: SROB_scaffold0001442